rnacentral:rRNA from 1 species
AGUCGAGCGAACUUUUGGGAGCUUGCUCCCAAAAGUUAGCGGCGGACGGGUGAGUAACACGUGGGCAACCUGCCUAUAAGACUGGGAUAACUUCGGGAAACCGGAGCUAAUACCGGAUAACAUAUGAGACCACAUGGUCUCAUAUUAAAAGAUGGCUUUUAGCUAUCACUUAUAGAUGGGCCCGCGGCGCAUUAGCUAGUUGGUGAGGUAAUGGCUCACCAAGGCGACGAUGCGUAGCCGACCUGAGAGGGUGAUCGGCCACACUGGGACUGAGACACGGCCCAGACUCCUACGGGAGGCAGCAGUAGGGAAUCUUCCGCAAUGGACGAAAGUCUGACGGAGCAACGCCGCGUGAGCGAAGAAGGUCUUCGGAUCGUAAAGCUCUGUUGUUAGGGAAGAACAAGUACCGUUCAAAUAGGGCGGUACCUUGACGGUACCUAACCAGAAAGCCACGGCUAACUACGUGCCAGCAGCCGCGGUAAUACGUAGGUGGCAAGCGUUAUCCGGGAAUUAUUGGGCGUAAAGCGCGCGCAGGCGGUCCUUUAAGUCUGAUGUGAAAGCCCACGGCUCAACCGUGGAGGGUCAUUGGAAACUGGGGGACUUGAGUGCAGAAGAGGAGAGCGGAAUUCCACGUGUAGCGGUGAAAUGCGUAGAGAUGUGGAGGAACACCAUUGGGGAAGGGGCCUUUUGGUUUGUAACGGACUUUGAGCCGAAAAAGCGGGGGGAGCAAACAGAAUUAGAUCCCCCUGGUAGCCCCCCGCCGUAAACAAUGAGUGUUAAUUGUUAGAGUGUUUCCCCCCUUUUAGUGCUGCAGCAAACGCUUUAAGCACUCCGCCUGGGGAGUACGUUCGCAAGAUUAAAACUCAAAGGAAUUGACGGGGGCCCGCCCAAGCGGUGGAGCAUGUGGUUUAAUUGGAAGCAACGCGAAGAACCUUACCAGGUCUUGACAUCCCGUGCCAAUUCUAGGAAUAGGCCUUUCCCCUUCGGGGGACACGGUGACAGGUGGUGCAUGGUUGUCGUCAGCUCGUGUCGUGAGAUGUUGGGUUAAGUCCCGCAACGAGCGCAACCCUUGAUCUUAGUUGCCAGCAUUAAGUUGGGCACUCUAAGGUGACUGCCGGUGACAAACCGGAGGAAGGUGGGGAUGACGUCAAAUCAUCAUGCCCCUUAUGACCUGGGCUACACACGUGCUACAAUGGAUGGUACAAAGGGCAGCUAAACCGCGAGGUUAAGCCAAUCCCAUAAAACCAUUCUCAGUUCGGAUUGCAGGCUGCAACUCGCCUGCAUGAAGCCGGAAUCGCUAGUAAUCGCGGAUCAGCAUGCCGCGGUGAAUACGUUCCCGGGCCUUGUACACACCGCCCGUCACACCACGAGAGUUUGUAACACCCGAAGUCGGUGGGGUAACCGUAAGGAGCCAGCCGCCUAAGGUGGGACAGAUGAUUGGGGGAAGUCGUAA